AUGUUAUGCCUUCACCACGGGUACACUUACAUCCACUUAAAAAAAUGCAAAAACAAAACAAUUGAAGAGAUAUUGAAACUAGACACUACUGUCACUUACUUUCAGACAAUGCAAGUUCUUCUGCCUUUGUCCCUUUGCAUGCCUUGGCAGAGAAGGUGCAAAUGGUCAGUAAUUAACCUCCUGAAGUGAUUACCACACUCACUGAUUCAAAUGUUGAUGAUCAAGCUAUGCUGCCAGACUUUAAAGAUGUAUGGAUUCUGAUCUGCUUUUAAAAAACAUGAGCCCAUCUUUCAAACCUGACUUCUUAAUAAUAAAAUGUAUAGUGUACUGUGCCCCUAUUAUAUGGCAAUGUGAUGUGGCAUGAAAAGAAUAAUCUUGUCAUUCAACACUAUGCUUUUUGUGCCCUCUUGUGGGUAAAGGAAUUAAGUCACGUUAAAUGAGUAUGGAACUUUCUGGCACAUGGAACUACCACAGUUUCAUGUUCUUUUACACGUGGGAGGAAAAAAAACACCCAGAUUUACACUGUAACUUAACUGUUCAUGUCCUCAGUUAAACCAUGAUGGCCAAAAGGUUGAUCAUGUCCCAAAUUGCACACCCCAUUGCUAUGUGCUUUGAUAAAUAGUUCCACUUCAGUUCCACUACUAUGGCCUGGUAGUUAAGUUAACUAAAGUAGAUGGUGAUUAAUAAAAAUACAUGGGCACAUUAUUACAAGAAGUAAAAUGAGAAAUACCUGAUUGCAGUACUUUGUGACCCUAAAGAUUGGGGUUAUUCUUAAAAGGAGCUGAUUCUCUACUGGUAAUUUGUUGCCUUGUAUUGGUGGAAUGUUAUGUCUAGUGGAUACAACCACAAGUAAUGGAGUAAUACAAGGACCAAUAAUGCAGGAAGAUUCUACCCUGGUGUCGAUUCCAGUGUCGACUGGUUCGUGGACUGAGUGCUCAUUAUUUAUUUUUUAAAAUUGUUCUAUUUUUCUAUUUUGUUGUUCUGUCUAAUGUUCUGUUUUGAUGCUUAGGAGAGUAAUUUCCUGUUUUGAUUCUUAUUUCUUCGUGUCAAACGACAGAUGAAGCUUUCUUGUAUAAAUAUAUACAAAAUCACGACUUAAUUCUGGAGAAAAAUGCCCAGACUUCUGAGUUAAAAGAAAUGCAUUUUCUGACUUGGCUGUGCUGUUGUUUCAGAAUCGGACUAGCAAUAAAUCAUUGUAUGAAACUGACUCUUUGAAUCGACUCCAUUGUUUCUUAAACCUUUGAAAGAAAGCAGGUCGUCACUGUAAAUGAGAACUGGUUCUCAAUUGACUUACCUGGUUAAAUAAAGGUUAUUAUUAUUAUUAUUAUUAUUAUUAUUAAGAAAACCGGAAUCGACUCUAAAUUUUCUGGAAUCGAGUCAGUCGUGUGUGACACCCACCCCCACGCUCCAAAUACUGCUCCUGAACGGGGGAUACGUGUUGUACGUGACAAAAACAUGACGUGGCCAAAAACAACGUAUGGAUACAGAUAUGAGGCAUAUGUUGUGUAAUUACAGUAACCCAUUGCCUAACGUGAAUACAUGGUGCAUUAUUUAUUGUUUUGUGCACGUAGCUACUGGCGUAAUGACAUGUGUUUAUUUUUAGUUCUCUAACCCCUGAAUGUUUUAGGAUUGAUAAUGACUCAAGAUUUACGUUCCAAUAAGAAUACAACGAUAUAGGUAACGACAGUUAUUUGAGGAAUCUUUUAUUUAAUCAGCCCGGAUUUUGCCAGAACAUUCUUCCACUUUCUGAACUAAGACAAACUUGUUUUUGUUUAAAUGCCCUGCGCACGCGCACUGAUGCAAUGCAGUAAAAUGCAAAGUAGAUCCGGUCACACAAACCGGUUUAAACCGGACUGAGCUAGGUCUCUUUACCUCUGAACAGCUGCACUGCGCAUGUGACGUAAUUGCUGUUUGGAAAAUCACCAGAGUUAGUAGCAUUAGUCAUCGUUUUAUGUACUUUCCAACAAAAAGCCCCUUUAUUUCUUAUAAAACGCUUUUUAGCUUUCUAACAUACAUUUGAAAAUUCUAAACCUCUCGGCUAUUAGCACUUACGAAUGCAAUAAUUCUCAAUGCCAAGACACUCAGUUGGCCUAUAUCCAGCAUUCCGAACUUUUUGUUAUGUUAUUUAAUUUCGUACAAAGAAGAAACAGUUUUCAGUUACUAUGAUUGUCUUCUUCAUAUGCUUCUUAUAAAGAUGUAACCUCUCAGAUUCAUUACAAUAAUAAUGUAAUUAGCCAAAGAAGCGUCGCAGUGGAACUACUUUUUGCAAUACGGCGGAAGGAUUUUCCUUGUGACGAGCCGAGUCGCGUUAGUAUAUAAAGAAGAGCGAAAUCGUUCUCAUGCCACUCGUGGGCGGUGCGGUUGAGAGGUGCUGUGGUCUUGCCGGUCAUAGGAACGGCAUUGGUUUGACUUUCGUCUUUGUGUUUGCGGUUGAUUUUAUUGUGUAUUUUAGUGAAGUUCGUCAGUUAUAGUUGUCUUCCGUCUUUUUUUUUUUACUUUCUUUGAUUGUAGUUGGGCAUUUUAUGAAAUUCCUUUAUUUUGAAGAAGGUCUAGUUUACGAUUUGUCUUUUCUAACAGUACUUGACUACUCAAGCAACUGAAGAGGUUUAAACGCAAUUUUUGUAUUUCAUUACAUAGUAUCUUUUUAGAUAUUUUUUGGCUAACGAUAAUUUGGUAUACGCACUGAGUAGGUUUAUUUUACUUUUUAAUUUUCAACUAUGGAACAAAUUAUGGAUAAGAGAGUUGUUUUAUUAACUCCAGUAAACAUAGUUAUUAAUAUAGACGUUAAUAAUAUAGUGGAGAUUACAUGAGGCUAGAGAUAGGAGCAAGAAAGCUCCAGGUCAAACUGCGCAACUAGCGAGUUUGUGGCGUAGACAAAAUGGCGCAGCUGUUAAACAGCAAAAUGGCCGCCGUUAAAGACGAGCUAUUUUUAAAGCAAGCUGUUUGUGCCAGUUGCUGGUUAGCUUGUUGAGAACUUGUAACGACAUGUUCUGUUUUCUACAAUUUUUAUACGAGUCAUUUGUAAAAACCUGUUGACGUUACUUCAUGACUAGUGUCUUCAGUCUCUGUUAAAACCAAGAUCAUUUUAGCCAAUUUGCUAACGUGAGCGUAAUUACGCUUCAAAAAAAGGCUAUUUUGCCAAUUGAUUUGAAUUUUUUAUUUUGGGAUUUUUUUGGAAAUAAACAAUGUGAAUAUGCAGUAGAAGCUAUUAGUUUUCGAUGGGCAUUAUAUUAGAGUUUGUCAAAAGGAAAAAAGGACUGCUGAUAGAUCGUCAAUCCUGAUUUUUUUCCCCGCAAUGUCUGUUGGCGGCUACAAGUUUGUUUUUCUUUUUUUUUUUUUUUUUUUAUAAUUUGGCUGAAUGGACUGAGUUUAUACUAAGGACUUAGCCAAUUAGCUGUAACCACGGAAAGAAGAUCUCGGGAUCAGAGGGAGGCGUGAGGACCAGACGAGAGCCAGGCGAGGAUCAGGAGAGCUCAGGCCAGGUUGGAGAAGAGGCGAGCGGGGAAGAGAAGAGGGGCAAGGCGGUGGUCCAGAGAGGAAAAGAGAUCAAGACAGAGUAGCGACAGCAUCACAGGCGGCCACAAGAGGGAGCACAGCCGGUCUAGACCAGACGAAGCCAAUGACAGCAGAUACAGCGCUGAGGGAGGGAGAGGGAGGUGCAGGGUCAUCUACAUAGCAUCUUAAAGCCAUUAGAAGAGGGAGUUUGGUUUGUAUAAAGGGUAUAGGUAUCUGUACAAAUUUAGAAUUCAAGCUUUUUUCUCCUUCAGGUUUUUGUAGAAUGCACUUGCUCGCAAAGCUUUGUUCUUUCUUUCCAGACGAGGUGUAUGAGUGUGUGAAAUUCACCAUCAGUGUGUGAGCCGCCCUGUUGUUGAUCAAGUUGGGUUUCUGCCGAGAUGAGUGCCAGUAAUCAACGAUGCACCCAUGCGCCGUUCAGAUGUAGUCUCCUGGGAGAAAAGGCGUCUCUGUCCUUACAAUCCAAUAGGUCUGAUCCAAGGUGCAAGCUACGUGAAGGGUUGUUUGGAGUUGAAGUUCCUCUGCGUCGCUACACUGCUACACAUCGUCUGCUACUCCAGUCACAUCUAUAUUCUUCGUGUUUUCAGUGCUGAGGCCAUUGUGUAUCGUUUGCUGGUAAACUUGAUCUCCCUAAGUUUAUGCAUGAUUAAAAAAAAAAACCCCAAAAAACUUUGAAAGCGCGUAUAAUUAAAAGGGAGUAACUAUUCCCUUGUAGAAUUUUGAUGUAGACUUUGCAAAUGCAGUCUAUAGUCAUUUAUUGUAACAUAAGAACAUUGUAUUGCGUCUUUGGUCUUUUGUGGGAAAUGGGGCGGGGCAACUGCGUUUGAGUUUUUUCUUCCACAGGCCCAAUCUCUUAAAGCAAUAGCGCCAAAGGCAUCCCUUGCUGUAGCACAAACCAGUGUUCUAAGCUUGUAUGCAACAAAGUAAUGGUGUAAGGACACAAGUGAAUCCUCUGCUUUGGUUGGAUUUAGUAAGGUACUAUAUAUUGGCUUUCUGUCUCUCUUCAUACUUUGCCAGACAAUUUUAUUCAUUUUUUUGUACACAUCUUUGUGUAUUUGGGAUGUAAUUGUUUUGGGGGGUGGAGGGGGGGUGCGUUAACUGAAAUCUCUUCCUAGCCUUUGCAGCUUUUCAGAGAGGCUUAGUUAGAGAACUGUGAAUAACACUGUAUGGGGAAGGAACCUGCAGUCUGUGGAUGUGACCCUUCAAGGCAGCUAGCCCAAGGCAUGAGACGAAGGAAGGAACCCAAAGGCGGCAAAGAAAUACAAGUCGUUUCGUAAGAUGGCACAUUGUCAGGAUUGUGUUGAAUGUGUACCCAUUCCGUUCAUGGAUAUUGAGUCGUGGGGUAAUGGGGCCGGGGACUGCUUAAUUGUGACUCUUGCAGAUUUAGUGACCCAACCCCUCAAAACCAGUGGUUCAGCUGCUAACUAUUCCCCCUCGCAAGGAGCAAAGCUGAUGAAUACAGGCUCAGCGUGAAUUUUACCUGUUCAAACGGCAAGUAAUUGGUAUUUCUGUAAAUGAAAAUUAAUUUUGGUUUAAUUGACAUACAUUAGUGAUUGUAGUAGUAGUUUUGUAUUUGUUUGGGUUGUUUAAAUGGGUGGGGUUGGUUGUAGGCUUUUCUCCCCCCUUUUUCAGUGUGCCGUGUCCAAGUGCUUUUCAUGCUCAAGAUCUCCUGAAGAUCACACUCUAACACAUUGUGCAUCAAGGUUUGCUCUUGCAUUUGUCAGCCUCUUUUGGCCUUGUAAAGUCUCAAUGUGGCUCAUAUACUUAACAUUCAUUGUACUUGGUAAUUGUCAGUUUCUUGUGUGAAUGCUUGAAUUCUGUAAAUUACAUUCUUGGUUAAUAAAUUCAUAGUGUUGUGAUUGAAA